AUUGAACGCUGGCGGCAGGCUUAACACAUGCAAGUCGAGCGGAGAGAGGUAGCUUGCUACUGAUCUUAGCGGCGGACGGGUGAGUAAUGCUUAGGAAUCUGCCUAUUAGUGGGGGACAACAUUUCGAAAGGAAUGCUAAUACCGCAUACGUCCUACGGGAGAAAGCAGGGGAUCUUCGGACCUUGCGCUAAUAGAUGAGCCUAAGUCGGAUUAGCUAGUUGGGGGGGUAAAGGCCUACCAAGGCGACGAUCUGUAGCGGGUCUGAGAGGAUGAUCCGCCACACUGGGGCUGAGACACGGCCCAGACUCCUACGGGAGGCAGCCGUGGGGAAUAUUGGACAAUGGGCGGAAGCCUGAUCCAGCCAUGCCGCGUGUGUGAAGAAGGCCUUAUGGUUGUAAAGCACUUUAAGCGAGGAGGAGGCUACUUUAGUUAAUACCUAGAGCUAGUGGACGUUACUCGCAGAAUAAGCACCGGCUAACUCUGUGCCAGCAGCCGCCGUAACAC
rnacentral:rRNA from 1 species